rnacentral:rRNA from 1 species
CAGCCGUAAACAAUGUGCGUUAGGUGUGUCGGUAACCACGCGUUACUGAUGCGCCGAGGAGAAAUCGUGAAACGCACCACCUGGGAAGUACGGUCGCAAGGCUGAAACUUAAAGGAAUUGGCGGGGGAGCACCACAACAGGUGGAGCCUGCGGUUUAAUUGGAUUCAACGCCGGACAUCUCACCGGAUAAGACAGCUGAAUGAUUGUCAAUCUGAAGGUUUUACAUGACUAGCUGAGAGGAGGUGCAUGGC